rnacentral:tRNA from 1 species
GCCGGCAUAGCUCAACGUCAGAGCGUCGUCUCGGUAUGGCGAAGGAUGUGGGUUGAAACCCCGCUGCCGGCUCCA